GACGGAGGAUGCAAGCGUUAUCCGGAAUGAUUGGGCGUAAAGCGUCCGCAGGCGGCAGUUCAAGUCUGCUGUCAAAGACCGGGGCUUAACUUCGGAAAGGCAGUGGAAACUGAACAGCUAGAGUAUGGUAGGGGCAGAGGGAAUUCCUGGUGUAGCGGUGAAAUGCGCAGAUAUCAGGAGGAACACCAACGGCGAAGGCAGCUUGCUGGGACGGUACUGACGCUGAGGCGCGAAAGCGUGGGGAGCGAACAGG
rnacentral:rRNA from 1 species